UUUUUUUUUUCUUUCUAGGGACACACCUGCAGCGGAUGGAAGUUCCCAGGCUAGGGGCUGAAUCAGGGCUGCAGCUGCCAGCCUAUACCACAGCCACAAUAACACCAGAUCUGAGCUGCAUUUGUGAUCUAUGCCACAGCUCAUGGCAAUGCUGGAUCCUUAGCCCCCUGAGCAAGGCCAGGGGUCAAACCCAAAUCCUGAAUAGAUACUAGUUGGGUUUCCUUAACCCGCUGAGCCACAAUGGGAACUCCAGAAUUUUUAGAUACAACACCAAAUCACUACCCAUGGGGGAAAAAAAAAGGAUAAAUUGGACUUUAUUAAAAUUAAAAAUUUAUGCUCUGAAAAAGACACUGUUAAGGAAAAAAAGAGAUAAGCCAUAGUCUGGGAGAAAAUAUUUGUAAAACACUUGUCUAAUAAAAGGAUGCACCCAAAACACACAAAACCCUCUUGAAACUCAACAAAAAGAAAACGUUCAUUGUUCACCAGGUAGCAUCCUGAAUUUAGCAGCUAAAUGAAGGUAAAAAUCGCUGUGACAAACUGACUGAGAGAUAAAGCACUUAAGGCAGUUCACCCAGAGUGCGGCAUGUAGGAAGUGUCCAGUGACUCCCAGACAGGACUGUCAUCACACAGCGUCCAUAAACACAUGCUACAGGAAGAGGGAACAGGGCCUCAGAUUCCUUAGUAGUCUUAAUUCACAAGCAAAACAUGUACUUUAAAAAGUGCAGGAAACAGGGGGUGCCCCUCUUGGAUCAGUGGUAAUGAACCCAACUAGGAUCCGUGAGGAUGUGGUUGGAUCCCUGGCCUCGCUCAGUGGGUUAAGGAUCCAGAGUUGCCUUGAGCUGUGGUGUAGGUGGCAGACGCGGCUCAGAUCCCACGUUGCUGUGGCUGUGGUGCUGGCAGCUACAGCUCUGAGUCCACCUGGGAACCUCCAUAUGCUGUGGGUGUGGCCCUAAAAAGACCCCCCUGCCCCGCAAAAAAAAGGUGCAGAAAACGACUACAUUGCUCACCAGAAGACAUCGCUGGCCCUUUAGCACUGCCUAGUGUACAGCAUGUUAAAAUUCUGCCAUCCACUGUUUAGAAGUAAUUGGCUGAUGUACCAACGUGUCUAAUACUUUUACAGACAAAAGACUGCAGCCUCACACUUACCUGUGUAAUUGAAAACAAAUGAUGCCUGACAAAUGCUUAAUUAUUUCUGAAUUUCAUAUUAGAACAAUGUCAACAUCUUGCAACAUAGAUUCUGAUGAAUAACUUGGCUGCACUAAACCUUUUAAAAGAAAAAUACUGGCUUUGAUGAUCUGAGAUUUUCGGUUUAUGAGGUCAUUAAUCAUGGCAAGUGUUGUGCCUCGUUUCUGCUAGAGAGUUAUUAUCUGCCCUUAGGGCCAUGGAAUGUUUAUUAGACUUAAGUUAAAAAAGAAAAUGGUUUCUGCUCAAAUUCUAUUAAGAAUAAUUUCUCAAUCAGCAACCAUUUCCCCCAUCUCUCCAUUAAAUAUAAGAAAGAGGAAGCUUUAAAAGAAACUCCACCAGGCUGCCCUUCACCAUUCUCACACCCUUAUGUAGUGAAAUGACAGUAACACCCAUUGGCUUAAAAAAUCUUUCUCUCUUUGGUGAGACUGUGACCGAGGGUGGGUGUCUCUUGCAAUUCUGAACUCGGGCAGGGGGAGGGGGGGAGGGAAUCAGGACAUGACAGUGUAUGUGCUUUUUUAGAAAUGUUUAAGCUCCACUGUGCAGAUACAUAUACCACAUGGACCACAUUAUAAGAAAAGGUCCUAAAAUGUCUGGAACCCAUGGAAGCUCACUUGGAAUCACCAUAGCUAAUAAAUACGGCGAGCAUACAUUUUACUGAAAGCCACUACACCUGCAGUCGGAGCAAAUGGCAGCGACAGCAAGGAGAGGGGACGGCAACCAGAAGCAAGUUAUUUCCGCCACCAGAGCCUUGGAAAAGUUCAAGAACAGAGGCACCACCUCUGAAGAUGGGAUCCCAGCGUUGUGGGGAGUCUGGCCCAGAGGAAACGAACCUCCAGGUCCUCUUGUCUCCUCCCCUGGCCUGCCGAAGAUGGAGGGUUUCUUUCCAGAGGGGUUGCAUCAGAGAAAGUCUGUCUCCAGAGGCACCUGGAGCACCUGAAGGUGCAGGUGAGGAGUCCCGCCGAGAAAAGAGAUAUCAAAUGACAGGCUACAUGUUGAAAAGGCAACCUGGAAUGCUCCUCCCCUGGCUCAGCUUCCAAAACACUGGUGGCCAGUGUUUCCUCUAUGGAGACACUCAAUCAUCUUAAAAGAAGGACCUAGAUCUAGUGAGACUUGAGCAUCCGCCAAUGAAACAGGAGGUCCCUCCCCAGAGGCCCAUCUGUUGACAAGCCCCAGCCAUGGAUACAGUUUGCAACCAGCGUGGUUAGCUCCUUGCUAAACUGAAAAGACAGCCGAGUAGCAGACAGUUGAGGGAUGGUUCUCUCUGUAAGACAGUGACCAAAAGAAACAGACAAAAUUAACUCGGAUGGAACAGACAAUGUGGAGAGCAAAAGAACACAGGACUCUAGAAUGAAUAUUCUCCUGGAGGUAAGAAGAGAAGAGAAGCCAUUUUUAAAAAAGAAAAUAGGAGUUCCCCCUCGUGGCGCAGUGGUUAAUGAAUCUGACUAGGAACCAUGAGGUUGCGGGUUCAAUCCCUGGCCUUGCCCAGUGGGUUGGGGAUCCGGCGUUGCUGUGAGCUGUGGUGUAGGUUGCAGACAUGCUCAGAUCCCGUGUUGCUGUGGCUCUGGCGUAGGCCGGUGGCUCUGGCGUAGGCCGGUGGCUACGGCUCCGACUGGACCCCUAGCCUGGAAAUCUCCAUAUGCCACGGGAGCGGCUCAAGAAAAGGCAAAAAGACAAAAAAAAAAAAAAAAAAAAANAAA
ensembl:lncRNA